GAUUAACGCGGGCGGCGUGCAUAACACAUGCAAGUCGAACGAUGAAGAUAUUUAGAUUCGUUCGGGAUGAAAAAUAUUGGAUUAGUGGCGGACGGGUGAGUAACGCGUGAGUAACCUGCCUUACACAAGGGGAUAGCCGUUGGAAACGACGAAUAAUACCCUAUGACAUAAACUCUUCGCAUGAGGAGCUUAUCAAAGAUUUAUCGGUGUAAGAUGGACUCGCGUCUGAUUAGCUAGUUGGUGAGGUAACGGCCCACCAAGGCAACGAUCAGUAGCCGGCUUGAGAGAGUGUACGGCCACAUUGGGACUGAGACACGGCCCAGACUCCUACGGGAGGCAGCAGUGGGGAAUUUUGCACAAUGGGGGAAACCCUGAUGCAGCGACGCCGCGUGAUUUAGAAGGCCUUCGGGUUGUAAAAAUCUUUUGUAUGGGAAGAAAAUGACAGUACCAUACGAAUAAGGACCGGCUAAUUACGUGCCAGCAGCCGCGGUAAUACGUAAGGUCCGAGCGUUGUCCGGAAUCAUUGGGCGUAAAGGGUACGUAGGCGGAUAAGCAAGUUAGAAGUGAAAUCCUAUAGCUCAACUAUAGUAAGCUUUUAAAACUGCUCAUCUUGAGGUAUGGAAGGGAAAGUGGAAUUCCUAGUGUAGCGGUGAAAUGCGCAGAUAUUAGGAGGAAUACCGGUGGCGAAGGCGACUUUCUGGCCAUAAACUGACGCUGAGGUACGAAAGCGUGGGUAGCAAACAGG
rnacentral:rRNA from 1 species